GUGUCAGCAGCCGCGGUAAUACGUAGGGUGCGAGCGUUAAUCGGAAUUACUGGGCGUAAAGCGUGCGCAGGCGGUUUUGUAAGACAGAUGUGAAAUCCCCGGGCUUAACCUGGGAACUGCAUUUGUGACUGCAAGACUAGAGUACGGCAGAGGGGGGUAGAAUUCCACGUGUAGCAGUGAAAUGCGUAGAUAUGUGGAGGAAUACCGAUGGCGAAGGCAGCCCCCUGGGUCGAUACUGACGCUCAUGCACGAAAGCGUGGGGAGCAAACAGGAUUAGAAACCCCCGUAGUCC
rnacentral:rRNA from 1 species